rnacentral:rRNA from 1 species
CUACAAAGGAAUUGACGGGACCCGCACAAGCGGUGGAUGAUGUGGUUUAAUUCGAUGCAACGCGAAAACCUUACCCACCUUUGACAUGUACGGAAUCCUUUAGAGAUAGAGGAGUGCUCGAAAGAGAACCGUAACACAGGUGCUGCAUGGCUGUCGUCAGCUCGUGUCGUGAGAUGUUGGGUUAAGUCCCGCAACGAGCGCAACCCUUGUCAUUAGUUGCUACAUUCAGUUGGGCACUCUAAUGAGACUGCCGGUGACAAACCGGAGGAAGGUGGGGAUGACGUCAAGUCCUCAUGGCCCUUAUAGGUGGGGCUACACACGUCAUACAAUGGCCGGUACAGAGGGUAGCCAACCCGCGAGGGGGAGCCAAUCCCACAAAGCCGGUCGUAGUCCGGAUCGCAGUCUGCAACUCGACUGCGUGAAGUCGGAAUCGCUAGUAAUCGCGGAUCAGCAUGUCGCGGUGAAUACGUUCCCGGGCCUU